UGGGGAAUAUUGCGCAAUGGGGGAAACCCUGACGCAGCAACGCCGCGUGAGUGACGAAGGCCUUCGGGUUGUAAAGCUCUGUCGGAAGGGACGAAACUUAUAGAUGCUAAUAUCAUCUUUAAUUGACGGUACCUUCAAAGGAAGCACCGGCUAACUCCGUGCCAGCAGCCGCGGUAAUACGGAGGGUGCAAGCGUUGUUCGGAAUUACUGGGCGUAAAGCGCGUGUAGGCGGUCUUUUAUGUCAGGUGUGAAAGCCCUGGGCCUAACCCAGGAAGUGCGCCUGAAACUGAAAGACUUGAGUACGAGAGAGGGGGACGGAAUUCCCAGUGUAGAGGUGAAAUUCGUAGAUAUUGGGAGGAACACCGGUGGCGAAAGCGGUUCCCUGGAUCGAUACUGACGCUGAGACGCGAAAGCGUGGGUAGCAAACAGG
rnacentral:rRNA from 1 species